rnacentral:rRNA from 1 species
GACGAACGCUGGCGGCGUGCUUAACACAUGCAAGUCGAACGGAAAGGCCCUGCUUUUGUGGGGUGCUCGAGUGGCGAACGGGUGAGUAACACGUGAGUAACCUGCCCUUGACUUUGGGAUAACUUCAGGAAACUGGGGCUAAUACCGGAUAGGAGCUCCUGCUGCAUGGUGGGGGUUGGAAAGUUUCGGCGGUUGGGGAUGGACUCGCGGCUUAUCAGCUUGUUGGUGGGGUAGUGGCUUACCAAGGCUUUGACGGGUAGCCGGCCUGAGAGGGUGACCGGCCACAUUGGGACUGAGAUACGGCCCAGAAUCCUACGGGAGGCAGCAGUGGGGAAUAUUGCCCAAUGGGCGGAAGCCUGAUGCAGCAACGCCGCGUGCGGGAUGACGGCCUUCGGGUUGUAAACCGCUUUCGCCUGUGACGAAGCGUGAGUGACGGUAAUGGGUAAAGAAGCACCGGCUAACUACGUG